GGGUUAAAACUCAAAAUCAGUCAAACUCGGUUAAACUCGUAAAAUCGGUCCGAUUUUACCAAUUUUAACCGAGUUUGACCGAGUUUGACCGAUUUCGUGUUUUAACCC
rnacentral:pre_miRNA from 1 species